AUAUCUCAACACAGACAAGUUUAUGACUUGCUCUGAUGCUUGGAUGUUGAGGGCUGCUGGCAAGACUUUGUCAGCUCCUUUUAAAUUUAUUAGCAGAAACCUAUGCAAAAAGCUGGCUUCAGUUUGAUAAGCACUUAUCUGUAUUGCUGUUGCUAGUGAAACGCCCUUGUUUCAGCUUCCAAUUGUCCAAAUGUAAUGGACUGCCUCUUGAGGCAAUUCAAUCUUGAC
rnacentral:misc_RNA from 1 species